rnacentral:lncRNA from 1 species
GAAGAUGUACACUUGUUUCUGAUCCUCAAUUUAUUUGAGCAAUGUGAUUUCAGUUUAUAUAUUUGUGCUAAUAUGUCUUAAAUUGUCAAUUUAGCUAUAUAUAUGUCACAUUUAUUAUUUUCAGGAGAGUCACCUCUGACACAUGAUGAAAAUGGGAAAAUACAAAUGUUAUCAUCGGAUUCUUUUUCAAAAUAUAUAGAAAGUGGGACUAUAAUGUAAUGAAUCAGAUAUUUUAUUUGGGAAUCUCCUUGAAUUUUUGCAAUGUCCUAUAUGACACAUAAACUACAGAGUGCUAAAGAAAUUAUACAAUAAUACAAUUUCACUGUGAAUUAAUAGGGAGCUAUAAAUGUGGAACUACCCUGCCCCUUGGCCUUGCCAGUAGCACCGUCCUUUACAGAGCCAUCCUAUCUCUCAGUGUUUUUUGAGCUCACAUGUCUGAAGCCAUCCUUUCAUUUCUACCCAAGAGUGGAUGUCAUUUCCAGUGUUUGAGUUUUUUAGAUUUUCUUGUCUCAAACUUCUUAAGCAGACACUUAGAUAGUCCAAGAGUAUAAGAUGAACUUUAUUGGCCUGAUUCCUAAAAUGACUGUCCUAGUUAAGAUGUGUGGAACAAUACAGCUACAGAGCAGUGUUUGCUGCUGCUCUUCCCCUGGUAACACUAGUAAGUCCAGUGAGCACCCGAGCAGAUGCCUGUGAUGCCGAGGGGCUUACGUGGUGCCCAUUCUCCCACCAGGCUCUGAGUAUUAUGCUGAUUCAGGAGCAUCUCUGGAAUCCCAAAGUAGAACAUGAAGAGAAGCAACUACGGCUCCUACUACCAUGGAAAGAUUGUAUAAAAGGCAACACAUACGGUAUUUGUGCUGUGUGAGGACUUCUUACACCUGAUCUGCCAUUUCUUUCAUGCAAACUUCUCAGUCCAGCCAGUCCUACAGCACGUGGAAGCUCAGGGCCCAUCUGCAGCCAGGGCUCGGCCACAGUCUGCCCCUUCCAGACGGGAUGGGGAACCUACAGCACGCAUGCCACGUGGGCACACAGACACAGAUUGGGGUGCACAGAAGCACUUCCUCAAGGCUUUCAUGGGCACAUGGCCCUGAAAGGAUGUCUGCACCUUCUGGAGCUAACGGUGCAGGCGCUGUCCUGACUGCAGAAGUCUUCAGAGAUCACAUGACCCAGAAGAGACCCAGCCAAAGAGCCACGAAGACCCAUUUCACGCCAAAGGAGCCUCCAAAGAUCGGGAGCCACAGCGGAACGCAGUGAUUCUUCACCAUGGUCCGCGCUGAAAUCCGCAAGCUGCAGCUCCUUUUCUCAGAUCCAGCCCAGGCUCAGCCACCCCUUUGCCCGCGUCCCCCUCCCUUCCCCUUGCAGAGCUGAGCAGCGUUGUCUGACGGGACGCCACCCCUACCAAUCAUGGCAAGGAGAAGGGAGUGAGUCUCCUCUGAGACUGCGGGGAGGGAGAGACACACUCCAAAGCUCCCUGCGUGCACUAGUGUCAAAUGGAACAAGGAGAGCAUUUUACCAAAUACUGUAAGUAUUUGUUACCUAUUCAAGAACAUGUUAAUAGUGUUCUAAGUGUUAUCCACUUGAGUGAAAACUUAAGUUAUUUCUGCACAUUACUAAAGCUAUGAUUAAGUGUGUUAUAUAUGUAGUCUGACCGAGGUGAGAACAGUCUACGUUACUCAACAGACUUUUCAUCAGAGGAGGAAUGGGCGAGGAGGACGCAGUAAAUCUGCACAAUAUAACGUUGCCCAGCCUUGAUCAGCAAGGCAGUCCUGCCAGAUGUGCCAGCCCGGGUGAGAAGGGAAGGCUGUGUGCGAAGUGGAGUCAGGCGGGCACAGGAAGUCGGCGCUGCGUGACGCACUUGGACGUGGAAGCUAAGAAAGUGGAACUCGGAGGGGCUGAGAUGAGGGUCAGCUCAGCACCUGCUGGCGGCGGGUGGGGGUCGCCGUGGGCAUUUAUUAAAGGCUAUGAAACUUUCGGUUAGGCAGAAGGAAAAAGCCCAAGCAACCUACCGUACAAUGAGGUGAAUAUCGUUAAAAAACUGCACUUUACAAAUCACUGAGAUGGCAGAUUUUAUGAAUUCUCCACCUAAGAAAUGAUAGGCAAGUAAGGUAAUGCAUGUGCUAAUUAGCUCAGGGGAUCCACUCCGCAGUGUAUGCAUUCCGAAUAUCAUGUUGCACAUACGCCUUUUAGUUAUAAAGCAACGCUCCCCAAACUACUACGACUUUGUCCAGACAAAACAGAGUACUUUAUGCCUAUUAAGAAAAUCCAAUUUACACGUUGAAAUACCCAAAAUAGAAAUUAGAAAAUACAAAUGAUCUCACCAGAUAAUCUCAUCAAAUGUCUAGAAAAGACUUAGCAACAAUUCAACACAAACUCUUGCAGUGGGGCACACCUAGCUCACUAUUAAAAACGCAAUCAUUGUAAUCUACUCUGAUAACAGAGCACAAAAGAAAACUCACAUCUUAUUACUUGACAGAGACAAAAAUUUGACAAAAUUCAACACCCAUUUAAGGUUAAAAUUCCCCCCAAGUAACAGGAAUACAAGGGGGCUUUCAUAUGUUGAUAAACACUACUGAUAAAAUCAUACUUGAUUUAUUUAAUUCAUUAAAUUCAUUGGUACAUUUUAGGUACACAACAUGAUGAUGUUCAUCACUGGGAAUUUGUACCUGUAGAUGACAUAUCUUGGUCAUUCUUAAUGUCUGAAAGGCUGCUUUCUGGAGAUCAGGAAUAAGAGGACAAAAUUCAUUCUGAUCAUUCUUAUUCUUGGAUAUUUUAUCUAGGUCAGUAAAAUAAAAGGAAGACUAGCAUAUAAGGAACAAAGCUGUCUCUUUUCUGAUGGCAUGACUGUCUGUGUCCAAGACCAGAGAGUAUGUGAGAAUAAGAGCAGCAGCCACAAAGUCCUCAACCUGUGAGUGAGUUUCCUAAGGCCAGGUGAUAUAAGAAAGUCAAAUGAAAUCAGUUGCCUUUUAUAUAUGAGUAAUGGGCAGCAAGUUAAAAUAUAAUACCAUUUACAAUCAGUUAAAAAAUAAAACACUUAAAUAUAAAUAUAGCAAAACAUAUUCAGUACUUGAAUACUCAACAUUUUAACACAUGAAAGAAAUUAAAGAAGACAUAUGAAUGGAGAAAUUAUUUGGCAUAGAAAAAAAUACCAAUUCUUCCCUGAAUUGAAUAAAAUUUUCAGGAAAUUUCUAUUUAAAAUCCCAGCAGGGAUUUUGCAGAUGUAGAGAAUGUAAUUUUCAAACCAUAGCACUUUUCUUAUGAAAAAAAAUCUCAUAAUAGCUAAAAUUCUUUCAAUACAAGACUGUGUAUUUCAUGGCUAGAGCAAUCAAGACCAUAUGAUACUGGCAAAGUAUUAAUGAAGAGAGAGGCACUUAAAUCAACAAACCGUGCUGCAUCGAUGGGACACCUACAGUGGAAAAUACCGAAGGAAGGGAAGGAAGGAAAAGGGAAGAGAAAGGAAAGAAAACAGGGGAAGGAAGAAGGAAGGAACAUAUGAAAGGAAGAAGAGAAAAGACAGGAGGUAAGGAGGGAAUGGACACUGACUCACAUCUUACCUUAUAAGAAAGCUAACUCAAAGUAAGUCGAAGGUCACGUGUAAAGGUACGAUGAAUAACCACAACACUUAAAAAUAAUUAAAACCUACCAAACCUUUAGAAUUUAGGACCAGGCAAAGAAUUUUUAGAUUUGGAACCAACAUCGUGACCUGUGAAAUUGAAGUUGAUAAAUUAGUCUUCAUAACAAUGAAAAAAUUUUACUCAGUAUAUUUCACUCAUGUUAAAAUGACAAAAAGAAAAACUACAUGUGAGAAGAAAAUGAUUAUGCCAUAUAUACAUACAUAUAUGACAAAAGAGUAAUAUCAAGAAUACUUAGAAAACUACCUUUCAACAUUGAAAGGCAAAAAAGAAAUAAUGAAAAAACCUACUUAGAAAUAAAUAAAACAUAAAAAGUAAUGAGAAUAUGGGCAAAAAUCCAAUGAGACGUUUCAUGCAUGUGAGUACUCAGCCAACAAAUUAAUACGUGAAAUAAUUAAUAAAAUUAAUAUGUGAAAUAAUUAAAUAAUAUGUGUUCCACAUCAUUAGCUGCUAGCAGAGUACAGAUGAAAACCAAUCAGGACAGCAGAGACAAAAAAAAAAAAAUAGUAACAAUGCCUAAUCCCAGCACUUAAGAGGAUGAGGCAGGAGGAUCGCUGUGAGUUCCAGGCCAACCUGGGAUACGUACUGAAAUCCUGUCUCAAAAAACAAAACAAAAGAAGUAACAAUGCCAGUUCUGGAGAAAUAUGGGAGAUGGGACCAUUCACACAAUUAUGAUGGGGAAGUAGAUAAUAAUACAGCCACUCUGGUGAGCAGGCUGUCAGUAUUUCUCCUUUGUUCAAUUUAAUUUCAUUUAGCGAAUAUUUAAUAUAAUUUAAAGAAAAGUAAUAUUUAGUUGCUACAAUAAAAAUAUGUAGUAAUGUACAAAAAGUUAAGAAAAAUACAUUAUACAGUUCUUGUCCUUAACAAACAUAUGAUUUGCCCAGAGAGGAAACUUAUAAAAGUAACUGCAGAAAGGUCAACAGUAAAUUCCAAAUUUUGUGUUCUAGAAGCUGUAUGUGAUGGAAGGUAAAACUUCAUGGACAAAGGACUUUGGAUCUGCACGGGAAGAAACACAGCAUCCAGAGCAUGGAGGGGGGGUCUUUUUGUUUUGUUUUUUACACGAGGGAUCGAACUCACAACCUUGGUCUCGCAAGGCAGAUGUGCGCCAUGGGGCCGGGAAAUUAAGGGCCAUGCUGAGCAGAGGGCACGUGCGCGGGAGGCUGCCUCCUUGGAAACCGGAAGAGGCCCAGUCCCAGCCCUUCCUUUGUACUCCAUUAACGCGACCUCGGCCUUUCUCCCCCGCAAUCUGAGUGAUCUAUCUAAAAGUUACUAAAAUGAGAAGCUAGAAAAUAAUAAACAAGAAAUAAAUACUGUGAAAUAUAAUAGAAAAAAGUCGCAAUGUGAAAUAGGAAGAAAAGGGCUAAAGGUGUAGGGACAGUGGGAAGGGUAGAGGAAGGGGAAUAAGGGAGAGGGAAAAAAUGUGAGAAAAAUGUAACAAUGGAAUUAAAGUCUUGGUAGGUGGGGAGGGGAGGGGGUGAAGGGAGGGUGGGGACAAGGGGAAAAAAUGAGAACCAAGACCUGUCAUACAAAGGUACAAGAUCCCAGUAAUGAAUGUAACUGUACUGUAUACCUAGAAUGUACCAAUAAACUCAAUUUUAAAAAAGUCAUCUGUGAAGAGAGAGGGUCUGAGGGACUAGAGAGCCAGGAGGAAGGCAGGACACUUUGGGCUUUGUCCCCAUGAGAGGACAGAAAGAGCUUAGGCACUGCCAUCUUGUUAAAUGUCUUGACAUAGCACAAGAUUAUUAAAAAGCUGUGUCAUUCUCUCUAGUAUAGGCCAAGUAUGAUAAUAUAAAUCUUUUACCAACAGGGUAAUUUUUUAUUUAUUAUCAAAGUUUGUAGGAAAUUAAUUACUCAUUAGCAAAGCCUGCACUUUUGGAGAAUUUUUAAAAGAUUAAUUCACAUUUUAUCAUUUAUCAUUGCUUAGGAAACC